AUCGGCUCCAAAAUUUGGAAAACAAGCACCGAGAGGGGACAUCAGCCAAGACCAAGGGCACCGCUGGGAGCACACAGGGACCCCAAGGCCACAGGACCCGGCACCCACCCCCUGCGGCUGGCACCCGUCCCCGGCGGCGCGGCCCCGGCUCAGAGGCGCCCCCGCAGGCACUCAGCCCGAGGAAGACGGCAGCAGCUCGGGCUGGUCGGGCGCCACCAGGAUGUGGCUCAUGGACCUGGGGACAGAAGCAGAGGGGACUGAGCUGCGCUGUGCUGCCGGGACGUCGCCAGCCUGCCGGCCCCAUCUGUCCGCUCCUGUCCCCGCCGAGCCCGGCUCCCACCCUCCCCGGAGCCCCAGCCAGAACUCAGGGGGUCCACGGGGAGCGGGACGGUGCUGAGCACCCCAUGUCAUUCUCGGGACCAACAGCACGGCGGCCCACAGGUCCGGGAUGAUGGGGGCCGUGGGACAGCAGCAACGGGGGCCGGCGGGCUGACCAGACACUCCAUCCCUCAGUCCACAGUCACCCAGCACGCAGUCCCCAGAAGCCCGCCGUGGGGCCAGCCUCGCCCUGCAAGGGACACGGCCUUCCCUGCUUUCCCCCGGCUGUACGGUGGCCCCAGCGCACGGCGCCCGUGGACCCCUGGAGGCUGACCCGGCGCUCCGCCAGCACAAGACAUCCGGCGCAGACGCUGGGAGUCACCCCCGUGACUCCAGACCAAGGGGGAAGCCUUCAAAAUCGGGUAUUUGACGCCAACAGUGUAUGUCACGUCAGCCGUCGAGGCUCCUGGCUCCUGCCUGGACAGUGCAGGCUAAGAGGGGAACAGCAGAGCAGGGCAGGGCGAGGGCCUUCCUGAGAAGCCAGGGGGUAUCCAGCCGGACCCUCAAGAAGGUGUAAGAGCAUGGAGAACUCUCCCAAGUGGGAAGAGCGAACACGGCACAUACAAAGGUCCUGAGGCAGGCAUGUGCUCGGUGGGGCGGGAGCAGACCCCAGUGAGAAGCGGCAACAGAGUGAGGGCCCGAGGCCUCGCAGGUGGGGACUCCGGACGCUGGAGGACGAGAGACCUGCAUCAAAGCCCAGGAAGCUGUCGGGAGCCACAGACCCAGAACCAUCCACCUCCUCAGCAGUCACACAUCGCAUCCAUUUCGAAAUCAAGGGAACAGGAGAGAUCUCAGAAUUGAGUUCCAUCGUUCCGUUGUCCUCCAUGGACUCAAAUAAUGUACUUGAAAACACCGCAGCUGUGCUGACAGCUGGAGCCUGCGUCAGGUCCUGGCUCCCUCUCUCUCUGCCCCUCCCCCAAGAAUAAACAUUAAAACAAUCGUCACAAUAAGACGCACACAUGCCGCCACUGUGGCUCGAAGGCCUACCCCCUUCAGAGGUUGACCUGUUGCAAAUGUGGACAUCCGACCAAGCGGAAGAGAAAGGGUCACUGGAGGGCCGAGGCGGAAAGAAGAAACACCACUGGGACGUUCGGGCGAGGCCCUUGACAGCUGUGGGUUCAGGCACGGAUCCGGGAAGGAUCAACUCCUAACCCAGGAGGGCGGCGGCUGCGGAGUCCAGUUCAUUGUAAGGAUUUCCACGACCAGAACAAGAACAAUAAACGUUCUGGGGCAGUCACGCACAACAGUCAGAACUAGAACAACGAACGUUCUAGUCUAAACCAAAAGAGAGAGAGAGAGAGAGAGAGAGAGAGAGAGAGAGAGAGAAA